rnacentral:rRNA from 1 species
UACGUAGGGGGCUAGCGUUGUCCGGAAUCAUUGGGCGUAAAGAGCGUGUAGGCGGCUUGGUAAGUCCGCUGUGAAAGUCCAGGGCUCAACCCUGGAAAGCCAGUGGAAACUGUCAAGCUAGAGUCCGGAAGAGGCGAGUGGAACUCCUGGUGUAGCGGUGAAAUGCGCAGAUAUCAGGAAGAACACCAAUGGCGAAGGCAGCUCGCUGGGACGGUACUGACGCUGAGACGCGAAAGCGUGGGGAGCAAACAGG